GAUGAAGAACGCAGCAAAAUGCGAUAAGUAAUGUGAAUUGCAGAAUUCAGUGAAUCAUCGAAUCUUUGAACGCACAUUGCGCCCCCUGGUAUUCCGGGGGGCAUGCCUGUUCGAGCGUCAUUUCACCACUCAAGCCUCGCUUGGUAUUGGGCAACGCGGUCCGCCGCGUGCCUCAAAUCGUCCGGCUGGGUCUUCUGUCCCCUAAGCGUUGUGGAAACUAUUCGCUAAAGGGUGUUCGGGAGGCUACGCCGUAAAACAACCCCAUUUCUAAGGUUGACCUCGGAUCAGGUAGGGAUACCCGCUGAACUUAAGCAUAUCAAUAAGCGGAGGA
rnacentral:misc_RNA from 1 species